rfam:Helianthus annuus linkage group 17, whole genome shotgun sequence.
GUUGUGCCUGUGAUGGUUAUUAAAUAUACUUUGAGCAUUUACGCCCUGAAAACAACCUAAUCUGAGGCACUAC